rnacentral:ncRNA from 1 species
AUAACAGCAAUGAAAAGAAGAGUACAUUUUCUUAGAAGCGUAGAGAGUAUGUGGUAGGUGAAAACAUGCAUGAAGGGGAAAUGGAACAUGGUCUUGGAGCUGGUCAUGCGAAGAGUAUGACCCGGAGACGUCCGUUACAACGAAGAGAGGCAGAUGAUUGAAUCAUCCGCAAGACAAAGGUGGUAACGCGUGCAAGACGUCCUUUCA